CUCGUGAAAUUUAGAAUGUUGCUGCAGCCAAUGGGGCCUCGCGGCCGGCUGCCGGAGCUCCUUAUUGGAGGAGCGGGGAGGCGAGCGAGUAGAGGGCCCCUGGAGGGAGCCGCGGAGGCGCAGGUCGGAGAGGCCGGGCUACGCCGUGCCCUGCGCGUGAGCAGCUGCAGCGGCGGCAUCCAGCGGCGGCGUCUGCAGUUCCACUCCGUUGCUUUACUUUUUAGCUGCACGAACGUAGUCACUAUGCCGAAGAGAAAGUCUCCGGAGAAUACAGAUGGCAAGGAUGGAUCCAAAGGAACUAAACAGGAGCCCACCAGACGGUCUGCCAGAUUGUCAGCGAAACCUGCCCCACCCAAACCUGAACCUAAACCAAGAAAAACAUCUGCUAAGAAAGAACCGGGAACAAAGGUUAACAAAGGUGUUAAAGGGAAGAAAGAGGAAAAGCAAGAAGCUGGAAAGGAAGGUACUGCACCAUCUGAAAAUGGUGAAACUAAAGCUGAAGAGGUACUUUCCAUGAAAACCUCCCACUGAUUGACUCAGUGUCUUAAAGGAAACUGCUCAACGCUUCAGCCGGUGAUAGCACGUUCAUAAUGUCUCUCUCUAUUGCCCGUAAUGUGAUUGCAGAUCCUCAUCUCUCGCUCAACUGUUAAUGUCUCAGCCUCCAGAGGUACCCCACCCAGCACACUGUCAGUAAAGGGGCAGAUUGAAACAGUGAGAGUUCAGGGCACAGAAAACUGAAUCUGUAGAUAACAAGGGAGAAUGAAUUGUCGUGAAAAAUUGGGGUUGAUUUUAUGUACCUCUCGGGGCAACUUUUAAAAGCUAUUUUUACCAAGUAUUUUGUAAAUGCUAAUUUUUUAGGAUUCUACUAGUUGGCAUACAAAAAUAUAUAAGGAUGGACGUUUUAUCUUCUCAUAGUCAUGCUUUUUGGAAAUUUCCAUCAUCCUCAAGUGAAAUAAAUACCAGUUUGAUAUUGGAAGCUGUGUGUAAGAUUGAUUCAGCAUUCCAUGAGCUUGCUUUAAAAAUCGAGUCCUGUGCAUACUGUGGUGUUUUUUCUGUGCGUAUUUAAAUUUUUCACGCAGUUUUUCUAGAGCAAUAAUCAGUGGUGCUUUUGUACCUAGGUUUUAUGUGAUUUUAAUGAAACAUGGAUAGUUGUGGCCACCUGCUGACUAUUUGUGGUUUAAAAUAAAAGGUUUUCUUGCCUGCAAAA